GACGAACGCUGGCGGCGUGCUUAACACAUGCAAGUCGUACGGUAAGGCCCUUUCGGGGGUACACGAGUGGCGAACGGGUGAGUAACACGUGAGUAACCUGCCCACAACAUUGGGAUAACGCUAGGAAACUGGGGCUAAUACUGGAUAUGUGCUCCUGCUGCAUGGGGGGGGUUGGAAAGCUCCGGCGGCUGUGGAUGGACUCGCGGCCUAUCAGCUUGUUGGUGGGGUAGUGGCCUAACAAGGCGGCGACGGGUAGCCGGCCUGAGAGGGUGACCGGCCACAUUGGGACUGAGAUACGGCCCAGACUCCUACGGGAGGCAGCAGUGGGGAAUAUUGCACAAUGGGCGCAAGCCUGAUGCAGCAACGCCGCGUGCGGGAUGACGGCCUUCGGGUUGUAAACCGCUUUCAGCAGGGACGAAGCUUUUUGUGACGGUACCUGCAGAAGAAGCACCGGCUAACUACGUG
rnacentral:rRNA from 1 species